rnacentral:lncRNA from 1 species
CUGGACCUCCAACAAGGCAAAGCAGCCCUAAAUUCAGAGAAAAAUAAAGGGACACACCAAUGCCCCCCUUGCCCUGUGAGCAGUAUCAGGCUUGUGCUGAUCCCUGGGGCUGGCGCUUGCUGCCUGCAGGCUGCAGCAGAUCCCGUUUAGCCCCAGGGCCAGCGGCUCCAAGCUGCUGCCAGCCCUGGGGUGGAGGAGAAGCAGCGCGGCCACACGCAAUUAACUUGAAGGGAGACAUCAUUGCUAAUUGAGCAGUGAAGAUCAGGAGCAACAAUUACGCCUUUUGACAAGAGACAGCACAAGAGGGACUGCUCCGAGGCUGAGAAUGGUAGGGAACGGUUUCUAUGGCAAUAUAACUUUCCUCUCUUCC